UCCGUAGGCGGGCAGCUCAGUCAGUGGUGAAAGUUUACAGCUCAACUGUAAAAUUGCCAUUGAUACUGGUUGUCUUGAAUUAAUGUGAAGUGGUUAGAAUAUGUAGUGUAGCGGUGAAAUGCAUAGAUAUUACAUGGAAUACCAAUUGCGAAGGCAGAUCACUAACAUUAUAUUGACGCUGAUGGACGAAAGCGUGGGGAGCGAACAGGAUUAGAUACCCUGGUAGUCC
rnacentral:rRNA from 1 species